AGCAGCCGCGGUAAUUCCAGCUCCAAUAGCGUAUAUUAAAGUUGUUGCAGUUAAAAAGCUCGUAGUUGAAUUUCGGGAUUGGCGCAUCGGUCGUGCCUCACGGGGUAUGAACUGGUGCAGUCAAUUUCUCACCUUCUGGAGAACCGCGAUGUCCUUAAUUGGAUGCCGCGGGGAACCAGGACCUUUACUUUGAAAAAAUUAGAGUGUUUAAAGCAGGCAUUUUUGCUUGAAUACAUUAGCAUGGAAUAAUAAAAUAGGACGGCAUGGUUCUAUUUUGUUGGUUUCUAGGACCACCGUAAUGAUUAAUAGGGAUAGUUGGGGGCAUUAGUAUUCAAUUGUCAGAGGUGAAAUUCUUGGAUUUAUUGAAGACUAACUACUGCGAAAGCAUUUGCCAAGGAUGUUUUCAUUAAUCAAGAACGAAAGUUAGGGGAUCGAAGACGAUCAGAUACCGUCGUAGUCUUAACCAUAAAC
rnacentral:rRNA from 1 species